rnacentral:rRNA from 1 species
GCCUACGGGAGGCAGCAGUCGAGAAUUUUUCUCAAUGGGGGAAACCCUGAAGGAGCGACGCCGCGUGGAGGAUGAAGGCUUUCGGGUUGUAAACUCCUGUCAUUUGAGAACAAGGUGCGUACGUUAACUGCGUGCGCAUUGAUAGUAUCAGAAGAGGAAGAGACGGCUAACUCUGUGCCAGCAGCCGCGGUC